ACGCAGUGAAGUGUUACAGACGCUGAGCCCUCUCGGAACCCUGUGUUGUGACUGGCUGCUCCGGACACGGGUCUAGGUAUGAAUGUGUCCAUGAAACGCUGUCCCGACUCAGAUGUCCGCGCUCGAUACUUGCCUGAAAUUCCAGUUUAAUGAGGAGCCUUCGGUCUGGCCGGCAGCUCUGCUCAGAGCCCAGCGCCGGCCGGGACUCGGCAACGGGGCCCCGCAGAGCCGCUGCGGGGGACGCGGGAGGAGCAGCCUGGCCGGCCCCAGACUCGCUCGGCCGGGCGCGCCAGAAGGGAUCCCUGAGGUUCUGCUGACAGGAGCCGGGGCGCGCAUGCCCAGCACCCUUGGAGCGGCUGGCAGUGGAGGGAACCCCCC